GAUGAACGCUGGCGGCGUGCCUAAUACAUGCAAGUCGAGCGAACAGACGAGGAGCUUGCUCCUCUUACGUUAGCGGCGGACGGGUGAGUAACACGUGGAUAACCUACCUAUAAGACUGGGAUAACUUCGGGAAACCGGAGCUAAUACCGGAUAAUAUAUUGAACCGCAUGGUUCAAUAGUGAAAGACGGUUUUGCUGUCACUUAUAGAUGUUUCCUCGCCGCAUUAGCUAGUUGGUAAGGUAACGGCUUACCAAGGCAACGAUGCGUAGCCGACCUGAGAGGGUGAUCGGCCACACUGGAACUGAGACACGGUCCAGACUCCUACGGGAGGCAGCAGUAGGGAAUCUUCCGCAAUGGGCGAAAGCCUGACGGAGCAACGCCGCGUGAGUGAUGAAGGUCUUCGGAUCGUAAAACUCUGUUAUUAGGGAAGAACAAAUGUGUAAGUAACUAUGCACGUCUUGACGGUACCUAAUCAGAAAGCCACGGCUAACUACGUG
rnacentral:rRNA from 1 species